UUUUGUGGUGGAAGGGGAUGCCGUGAAGGCCAUAGAACUGACUGAAGAGUUGGCGCCCAACUUGCUAGAGAAUGACAUGAAUUUUUUAUCUUAUAAAGUCUUCACUUCAUUGAGCUAAUUCGUUCCAGAAAAUGGUAACUGGCCGAAUUUAUUUUGGAGCUCAUGCUAAUCUACCAGCAUAUUCAUCAUUGGAGAGAGUUAUACAGCAGUCGACCGUGGUUAGGCAAUAUCUACAGCAGGAAGUUGACAAGGAUUCUUACCCACCGUUUUGUUUGAAGGCCUUUCUGGACAAGUAAGGUGCAACCAUGAUCACAAAGGAAAAAGGCUAUUAUCACCCCUGGACUCAUGUGCCCUUCAGAGUGCGGAAACAACACCGAG